rnacentral:rRNA from 1 species
GACGAACGCUGGCGGCGUGCUUAACACAUGCAAGUCGAGCGGAAAGGCCUCCUUCGGGGGGUACUCGAGCGGCGAACGGGUGAGUAACACGUGAGUAAUCUGCCCUUCACUCUGGGAUAACUGCCUGAAAGGGUGGCUAAUACUGGAUGCGACCGUCCCCCGCAUGGGGUGGUGGUGGAAAGCGUUUGUGGUGGGGGAUGUGCUCGCGGCCUAUCAGCUUGUUGGUGGGGUAAUGGCCUACCAAGGCUUUGACGGGUAGCCGGCCUGAGAGGGUGACCGGCCACACUGGGACUGAGACACGGCCAAGACUCCUACGGGAGGCAGCAGUGGGGAAUAUUGGACAAUGGGCGGAAGCCUGAUCCAGCAACGCCGCGUGAGGGAUGACGGCCUUCGGGUUGUAAACCUCUUUCAGCACAGACGAAGCUGCCUCCACGUGUGGGGGUGGUGACGGUAUGUGCAGAAGAAGCACCGGCCAACUACGUGCCAGCAGCCGCGGUAAUACGUAGGGUGCGAGCGUUGUCCGGAAUUAUUGGGCGUAAAGGGCUCGUAGGCGGUUUGUCGCGUCGGGAGUGAAAUCCACUGGCUUAACUGGUGGCUUGCUUUCGAUACGGGCAGACUGGAGGUAUGCAGGGGAGAACGGAAUUCCUGGUGUAGCGGUGAAAUGCGCAGAUAUCAGGAGGAACACCGGUGGCGAAG